rnacentral:rRNA from 1 species
CUACGGGAGGCAGCAGUAGGGAAUUUUGCGCAAUGGGCGAAAGCCUGACGCAGCAACGCCGCGUGAUCGAGACGCCCUUCGGGGUGUAAAGAUCUGUCAGUGGGGACGAAACUUGACGGUACCCACAGAGGAAGCACCGGCUAACUCCGUGCCAGCAGCCGCGGUAAUACGGGGGGUGCAAGCGUUGUCCGGAAUCAUUGGGGGGAAAGGGUUCGUAGGCGGAGUGAAAGGUUAGAGGUGAAAGGUACGGGCUUAACUUCGGUACGGCCUCGAAUACUGGUGAUCUAGAGUGUAGUAGCGGGAGGCGGAAUGUAUGGUGUAGCGGUGAAAUGCUUAGAGAGGAUACAGAACACCGAGUGCGAAGGCAGCUGAGCAAUCUAUAUGGGAGGUUGAGGCACGAAAGCGUGGGGAGCAAACAGGAUGAGAGACCCGUGUAGUC